ensembl:lncRNA
CGGGACCCAUCUGGGAAGGGCGAGCGUAAGGACCACAUGCGAUCUAGCCAGCAGGGCGUGCUCCUUCCAAACCCAGGACUCAGGUUUGCAGGGUUGGCCUGCUUUACAGAAAGGGCAACUGAGGCCCAAGGAGCGAGAUCACCUGUAGCCCCAAGUCAGAUAGUCCCAUUCACUUGUUCAUCUUUUAUUCAUUCAACAAACACUUUCGCAGCACGUACGGUGUGGGUUAGGAGUGGAGUAGAGGCAAACUUGGCAGUCCCUUAAGGAGCUGGGUCAAGCAGGACAGGAGAUUUCUCGGGGUCACUAACGCAUGAUAAAGGAGCCCAGAAUCGGGCUGUUUCCCCUUCCUACCUCAAAGCUUUCGUGGUUUUGCUAUUCCCAACCUGAAAUGCCUUCCUGUCACCCCCAUAUACCCAAGCACCAAUCAUCUUUAAAACCUCUGUCCUCAUCGUAGGUGAUCUUUCAGCAUCGUCUGACCCGGCAGUCAGGGUUUUUCUCUGUCUCACUAGCUGCUCCUCUUCAAGUGCCCAGCAUCCACCCCUUCUCUGCCUCUCCUGUUGGGGUGUUAGGGUGGCCCAUGGCUCUGGCCGGAUGUGCUUCUAUUCGACAGACCCUCUCCCAGUCAUGCUCUCCCAGGCUUUAAGCAGCAUCCACAUACUGGAGUGACUGCCAGAUCCGUAUUUCCAGGCCAGACCUCGCCCAGGAGGCAUCGCAAACCUCUCGGGGAAAACAAAGUGCUUUAUUCACCGCCCCCCAACCUGCUCCUCCACAUUCUUCUCUUUCUCAGUAAAUGGCCACUCUAUCCACGGGGCUGCUCAGGUUAAAAUCGGAAAGCGUCCUUGAGUGCAUCCUUUCCCUCGCCCCCUUGUGCAGUCCUUCCCUGCACUCCCCCAGCACGCACUGCCUCCCCUUUACAGCGUCAGCCGGAGUUUUCCGUCUGAGUGGCUGUCCCCCACCCCUGGUGAAGUGUGACCCUUCUAGGACAAGGCAGGGGCCUGACUGAUUCAUUUCUGUGUGCAGAACAGGGCCUGGCGCCCUGAAGGCACUCGGGGAAAGCUGGUAGAGGGAUGGAUGAAUGGGUAAGGUCUUGACGGUGACCGGGGUGGACCCCAGCCCCAUCUCCCUGCACACACACACGCACACACAUGCACUAACACACACACACACACACACACCCCACUGAAAGCCUGGCUUCCAAUCUGACUUGCCAAACAAAUUCCUGCGUGAACAUAAGAAGCCUCCCCACGUCUCCCCAGCCAGGCCCCAGUGUGGUUGGGGCAUGUACUCAGAGCUCAGGAAAUCAGACUCUCAGGGACGGAAGUAGUUAGGACAAAGGACAGCACUCCAGGCUGCCGGCUUUGGACCGUUGCCCUCUGCCUGACACGCUUUUCUCCCUGUGCCUGGCCAAAUCCUACUGACCCUUCAAGUCCCACCCUAAAGGUCACUUUCCCCAGGAAGGCUUCAGAGCCACCCCUGCACCAAGUACAGCUAUGGCAGACACACAUCAAGGCGACCCCCAAUGAGUCACGCCCUCGUGCCAUCCCCUCGACCUUGAGCGCAGGCUGAGCCUGUGACAGCUCCUAGCCGGUAGAAUGUGGCAGAGGUGACGGGCUGUCACUCCCAUGGACACGUUACACAGCAUAAGAAUUCAUCUUAACACACCAGAGGGAGAGGUUCUGCUUACAGACUGAGGAGCAGUCGCCUGCGUGCCGUCAGGGGGCCUUUGGAGAAGCCCACCUGGCGGAGGGUCUGUAGGACCUAAGGGCAGCCUCUGGCGGACAACCAGCAAAAAGCUGGGCCUGCAAUCACGCGGGCCCAUAGAAUUGAAUCCUGGCGUCAACCGGAACCAGCUUGGAAGUGAACUCCUUCCUAGUCGAGCCUCCAGUGUGGAAGCCCCAUGAGAAGAGAAAUGGAGCCUGUCUUUCUCAUCGCUGUGCCCAGCACGUUUUUGUUCGAGGGCAACUGGUUGCAGGCAGACCGCCCAAGGUGGCCAUGUGACCUUGUCCUGGCCAGUGAGACAUAGUGGAAGGUGGCUGCAAGGUUUCUGGCAUUUGUGUCCCGGAGCUGAUUUGGACCAGACCGUGAGAGCUGAUUGCUCUUUGUUCAGAAAUUUUGCAAUUUACAAUUACCCAUGCUACCGAGGAUUUUGCAUCUACUGUAACUGGAUGCUGGAAGGACUGUAGAAUGGGGUGCAGCUGGCGUCUCUUCCCGUUUCCAAAGCCAGCGAUGUCACGUUGGCAGCUGGAGAGCAGAGGUGGUAGCACAAUUUGUGCCACAGAAAUUGGCAACUGCUACAAGUCAGGACUUCCUUCCUCCUGUCCGCCAGAAUGCCAGGAAUUGAAAAUUUGCCAGCACAUCGCUCGUCUCUAGGGACGACUUUCCUCUCUGGGAAAAGAAAUAGACACAGCUGAUACUGUUUCUUCUCAGCAGCAGGGAUUAUUACCUUGAACACAUGUGAUGUCUGGAGCUGUGGCAGCCAUCUCACCACCACGAGCAAAGUCAGCAUCAGAGAGAUUCUGACUCUUCCACCCUUGAGCCACUGAAUCAAGACCAAGAAUCACCAACCUCCAGAUUGUCUGUUAGGGGAAAAAACGUCUUGGAAACAUUUGCAGGACCACAGAGCUUUUAGAGUCGAGGAGAGUGACAAACAUUUUGGCAAGUGAGAAGUGCGGCUGUGCUAGCAGCUGAUGAAGGUUUCUGCUGUGGAGGGGCAGCCUGGGAGCCAAGAGAGACGACAGCAAGGAGCGGUGGCGACCUGGUAGCACGGAAAAUGAGGUGGGGCAGGGGCCUCGGGUGGAGCAGCGGGAGGUUUUGGGACGACUGCCUGGUCGCGGGUGACCUGCACGCCAGCUCCGCUCCUGGCUCCCCAGGCAGGCUUGUCCGGGAGCACACAUGGGACGGUCCUUCUUCUCCAAACCCAGAGUGUGGGCUGUGGGUCUUCACUCUGACAGUCACAGCUCGGUGAUCCUGGGCAAGAUCCAUAAAGUGGGCUUCAGAAGGAUCUGCCCCAUAGCAUCAUUGUGAGGACCCCAGGUGCUCAGAUGGGGCGAAGAGCUCAGGGAGGAAGAGCUGAGAAAUGCACACCGCUACGAUGCCCUUCACCUCCCGGUGACUGUGCCGGGGCAGGUGCCCGGCCUGGGUGCUGGGGGCCUGAAGCCCCUGUCUGUGUUCCCCAGGGAAGGCGGCUGGCAAGCAGGUUCCCUGCUGCUCACCGCUGGCUGUAGGGUGCCUCUGCUUCGCACUGCACCACCCACUUUCACCCUGCUGACCCCGGGUCCAGGCUUGGGGCGGGGGCGGGGGGAUCACCCUCCAGAUUUUUCUCCUGUAAAACAACUAAGCAACAUCUUCUAACUCAGUUGUUCCCGGAAGUGCUGCAUUUUGGGUUUUGGGGUCUGCUGCGUGAAGGAAACUGAU